rnacentral:misc_RNA from 1 species
GAUGAAGAACGUAGCGAAAUGCGAUACUUGGUGUGAAUUGCAGAAUCCCGUGAACCAUCGAGUCUUUGAACGCAAGUUGCGCCCGAAGCCAUUAGGCCGAGGGCACGCCUGCCUGGGCGUCACACGUCGUUGCCCCCCCAUCUACUCCUUCGGGAUUGCGGGGGGCGGAUGAUGGCCUCCCGUGCGCCUCGUCGCGCGGUUGGCAUAAAUGCCAAGUCCUCGGCGACGCACGCCACGACAAUCGGUGGUUGCGAAACCUCGGUUGCCCGUCGUGUGCGGUCGUCGCGCAUCGAGGGCUCGAAAAAAUUGCCGGGCUCCGGCUCGGCUUUCAACGCGACCCCAGGUCAGGGGGGGUUACCCGCUGAAUUUAAGCAUAUCAAUAAGCGGAGGA